UCAAAUGUAUGUUGUACGUAUUCUGAAAGGGAUACUUCUUCGGACAAUAUACAAGGUGCUGCAUGGUUGUCGUCAGCUCGUGCCGUGAGGUGUCGGGUUAAGUCCCAUAACGAGCGCAACCCUAUCAUUAGUUGCCAUCAGGUCAAGCUGGGGACUCUAAUGAAACUGCCUACGCAAGUAGUGAGGAAGGUGGGGAUGACGUCAAAUCAGCACGGCCCUUACGUCCAGGGCUACACACGUGCUACAAUGGCCGGUACAAAGGGCAGCUACCUGGUGACAGGAUGCUAAUCUCAAAAGCCGGUCUCAGUUCGGAUCGGAGUCUGCAACCCGACUCCGUGAAGUUGGAAUCGCUAGUAAUCGUGGAUCAGCAUGCCACGGUGAAUACGUUCCCGGGCCUU
rnacentral:rRNA from 1 species